UACGUAGGGUGCAAGCGUUGUCCGGAAUUAUUGGGCGUAAAGAGCUCGUAGGCGGUCUGUCACGUCGGCUGUGAAAACCCGAGGCUCAACCUCGGGCCUGCAGUCGAUACGGGCAGACUAGAGUUCGGUAGGGGAGACUGGAAUUCCUGGUGUAGCGGUGAAAUGCGCAGAUAUCAGGAGGAACACCGGUGGCGAAGGCGG
rnacentral:rRNA from 1 species